rnacentral:rRNA from 1 species
UACGUAGGGUGCGAGCGUUGUCCGGAAUUAUUGGGCGUAAAGAGCUUGUAGGUGGUUUGUCGCGUCUGCUGUGAAAAUCCGAGGCUCAACCUCGGACUUGCAGUGGGUACGGGCAGACUAGAGUGUGGUAGGGGAGACUGGAAUUCCUGGUGGUAGCGGUGGAAUGCGCAGAUAUCAGGAGGAACACCGAUGGCGAAGGCAGGUCUCUGGGCCAUUACUGACACUGAGAAGCGAAAGCAUGGGGAGCGAACAGG